rnacentral:rRNA from 1 species
GCGUAAUAGCUCACUAGUCGAGUCGGCCUGCGCGGAAGAUGUAACGGGGCUCAAAUAUAGCACCGAAGCUGCGGCAUCAGACGAAAGUCUGUUGGGUAGGGGAGCGUUCUGUAAGUGGAUGAAGAUGGCUCGAGAGGGCUGUUGGACGUAUCAGAAGUGCGAAUGCUGACAUAAGUAACGAUAAAACGGGUGAAAAACCCGUUCGCCGGAAGACCAAGGGUUCCUGUCCAACGUUAAUCGGGGCAGGGUGAGUCGGCCCCUAAGGCGAGGCUGAAAAGCGUAGUCGAUGGGAAACGGGUUAAUAUUCCCGUACUUGGAUAAACUGCGAUGUGGGGACGGAGCAGGUUAGGUUAUCGCACUGUUGGAUAUGUGCGUUUAAGUUGGUAGGUGUGAAGUUUAGGCAAAUCCGGACUUCUUUAACACCGAGAGAUGAUGACGAGGCUCUACGGAGCUGAAGUAACCGAUACCACACUUCCAGGAAAAGCCACUAAGCUUCAGGUUUAUCUAAACCGUACUGAAAACCGACACAGGUGGUCAGGUAGAGAAUACUCAGGCGCUUGAGAGAACUCGGGUGAAGGAACUAGGCAAAAUAGCACCGUAACUUCGGGAGAAGGUGCGCCGGCGUAGAUUGUAGUCCCUUGCGGAUGAAGGUUGAACCGGUCGAAGAUACCAGCUGGCUGCAACUGUUUAUUAAAAACACAGCACUCUGCAAACACGAAAGUGGACGUAUAGGGUGUGAUGCCUGCCCGGUGCUGGAAGGUUAAUUGAUGGUGUAAUCGAAAGAGAAGCUCCUGAUCGAAGCCCCAGUAAACGGCGGCCGUAACUAUAACGGUCCUAAGGUAGCGAAAUUCCUUGUCGGGUAAGUUCCGACCUGCACGAAUGGCAUAAUGAUGGCCAGGCUGUCUCCACCCGAGACUCAGUGAAAUUGAAAUCGCCGUGAAGAUGCGGUGUACCCGCGGCUAGACGGAAAGACCCCGUGAACCUUUACUAUAGCUUGACACUGAACAUUGAAUUUUGAUGUGUAGGAUAGGUGGGAGACUUUGAAGAUGAUACGCCAGUAUUGUUGGAGUCGUCCUUGAAAUACCACCCUUUAACGUUUGAUGUUCUAACGAAGAUUACGAAACGUGGUCUCGGACAGUGUCUGGUGGGUAGUUUGACUGGGGCGGUCUCCUCCCAAAGAGUAACGGAGGAGCACGAAGGUUAGCUAAUCCUGGUCGGACAUCAGGAGGUUAGUGCAAUGGCAUAAGCUAGCUUGACU